UGCCACAAAAUGUCAAUACCAAAUUCGACCUAGAUAGAAAAAUGCCAAACCAUACUAAAAAUGGCACUACCAAAUUCAAAUCUCGAAUAAACAAUAUCAUAUUGGUACCAUUCACAUUGCAAUUUGUUUAUGUUUGCGUUCAGGACAGAUUCGUGACUGAAAUUUGAGAGAAAUGGUAGAUGCAUGUUCUAUAAAUUUUGUUGUUCAGAAAAAAACUUUUAUUUGACCAGUUAGACUUUAAUUCACCAGUGCUCGCCAAGUUCUAUUGCAGCCAAUAUGCCCCCUGGUUAUACCCGUACCGCCUUAGAUUACUUUGCCAGAUGAACUCGCAGUCAUGUCAGGAAACUGCAGCUGUUUCAGAUUUGGAUCGAAGGUUCUAGAUGCUUACCAUUGCGUGAGCAGCUAGCUACUGGGCAGCAUCUUUCCUGUCACAGCUCUACUGACCAUAAUUAUGUCCGCUCUUUUAUGUUGCCACUAAGCAUGCACAGCCAAAUGACAAUCAUGAAAGGAAGAUGCUUUGCUCCAAAUAAGCAAAAAGAAGAGGAUUAAAAGAAAAAUAAUUGGGCCAAAGAGAGCAGACGCUGAGUAGGACUCAGGUGUUUUAGUUUAGCACCACUAAUUUAUUCAGGAGAAGGAUAAUGUAUCAGUUGCCCUUAAAGGAACAGUUUGCAUGAUUGUUGCAGCUCGCUUGAGCAUGAUUCUCCCUCAGAUGCCAAGCAGGAGGAUGGAGCCAAAAGGCUGAGAUGGUUCGUUUCAUGUCACAUCAGCUCGUGGGAGCACACGAGUGACAGGAGAAAAAUAGAGAUGUAUCUUGAUGGGGUUCAUGAAAUCACCGCCUCAUGAAUUAACAUGGCAAUGCAACCACCAUUGCACCAUCUAGCUUCGACGUCAGGUCAAAACCAGGUUUUACCAAACCAUCUUCACCAGAUGCUGAAUUUACCUAGUAUUAGAAGUUCGCACCUAAAAAUAAUUGAGGGAUGAAAAGUACACUUAUCUCUUUCAUUUAUUUACUGUAAAUGUUGAUUAUUUUAUCAAUGAAUAUGGUCAAUUUUUUUUUACUUACCAUGUGUUAAUAUGGAAAGAACAGUUCACUGGCAAUACUAAUAUAGGUGUGAUUCUUGGAAGCAGGUGUUAAGAUUAAUUAGUAUAUGAUCAAUAGGAUUAAUUAUUAGUUAAUUAAUAUUCCCUCCGUUGCAUAAUUCUUAUGCUUUUUAAAAAUAGAUACAUCCAUUUUUAGACAAAUUUGAGACAAGAAUUAUGAAACGGAGAGAGUAGUUAAUAUGGCAGUCGUUAACAUGUAACCACUCGCGUCCCAAAAUUCCUAAAACUGGGACGCCAAUGAUGUCAAAUAUUUGGGACACCAAUACAUGUAUUGGUGUGUCUUCGCACAAUCAAUGGAAAACACACAGAUUCAUUAUCAUUCAUUCAUUUCACAACACGUUAUCGGCACGUACUUCUAGCAUCACAGAGCAAAUCAAGAAGGAAAAUAGGCAAGAACAAAGUAUGAACAGAGAAGAAUG